CACAUCUAAGGAAGGCAGCAGGCGCGUAAAUUACCCAAUUCUGAUAAAGAGAAGUAGUAACAAGAACUGACAAUAUUUUGCCUUAGGGUUAAAUAAUUGUAUUGAGAGCUGAGUAUACACACUAUCGAUAAACUAUUGGAGGGCAAGUCUGGUGCCAGCAGCCGCGGUAAUUCCAGCUCCAAUAGCGUAUACUAAAGUUGUUGCAGUUAAAAAGCUCGUAGUUGGAUUUCUGUGGGGACGGAGCGGCCGGCCGCACAUCGCGGUUCGAGCUAGCGCCUUCCCUACAUCCUGCCGCGAACCGUGCUACCAUUAAUUUGGUGGCGCCGGGGAUCGGCUCGAUUACUUUGAGAAAAAUAGAGUGUUCAAAGCAGGCCACAUGCCUUGAAUAAGUUAGCAUGGAAUAAUAACUAAGGACUUCGGUUCUAUUUUGUUGGUGUUCGGGACUGAAGUAAUGAUUGAUAGGGACAGUUGGGGCGGUCUGUAUUCCAAAGCGAGAGGUGAAAUUCUUAGACCUUCGGAAGACAAACAGCUGCGAAAGCGUUCCGCAAGGAUGUUCCCUUUGAUCAAGAACGAAAGUUGGGGGAUCGAAGACGAUCAGAUACCGUCGUAGUCUCAACUAUAAACUAUACCAGCUAGGGAUCGGCCAACGUUAUUUUAUACCGACUUGGUCGGCACCUUAUGAGAAAUCAAAGCAUCUGGGUUUCGGGGGGAGUAUGGUCGCAAGGCUGAAACUUAAAGGAAUUGACGGAAGGGCACCACCAGCCGUGGAGCCUGUGGCUUAAUUUGACUCAACACGGGAAAACUUACCAGGUCCAGACAUAGUAAGGAUUGACAGAUUGAUAGCUCUUUCUUGAUUCUGUGGGUGGUGGUGCAUGGCCGUUCUUAGUUGGUGGAGUGAUUUGUCUGGUUAAUUCCGUUAACGAACGAGACCCCAGCCUGCUAAAUAGCGCGUGUGAGCUUUGCUCGCGGCGAGCUUCUUAGAGGGACUAUGAUGCGCGAUAGCACAUGGAAGUUUGGGGCAAUAACAGGUCUGUGAUGCCCUUAGAUGUUCUGGGCCGCACACGGGCUACACUGGCGCCUGCAACGAGCAUAUCAGCUGGCCCGAGAGGGUCUUGGCUAAUCUUUUGAACCGGCGCCGUGCUUGGGAUUGACCUUUGCAAUUGUUGGUCAUGCAACGAGGAAUGCCUUGUAAACGCGAGUCAUCAGCUCGCAUUGAAUACGUCCCUGCCCUUUGUACACACCGCCCGUCGCUCCUACCGAUGAAUGUUCCGAUGAAAUUUUCGGAGAGCACCUGUGAACUUGGCUCUGCCUUGCGAACGGGAGGCUCAAAGUCACUUAAAUCUGAACAUU
rnacentral:rRNA from 1 species